UAUUUAUAUAGUUUAAUAAAAACAUUACAUUUUCAUUGUAAAAUUAAUUAUAUAAUUUAUAAAU
rnacentral:tRNA from 1 species